ensembl:lncRNA
CGGCGGGCGGCGGCGGCAGAGGGCCCGGCCCGGGGCUCGGCGCCGGGGGCGAGGCGCGGGCGCCCCCGCAGCCCGGCGAGAGCAGCAGCGCGCGGUCGCCGUCCUCGCCGCCGCGGACCCGUUCCCGGAGGCUCCGGGAUUGGCAUCGUUGGAGGGGCCCGGUCCAGGCUGCUCGGAGCCUCCGCGCCGCCCAGGGCCGGGUUGAUUCGGGUGGACUUGGCCAAAGCCCGAAACGCGCGGCCAGCCGCGUGCGCCCCAGUGAAGUUGGUUUCCGCUCUCCUUGCACGGCCUCAUGCAUUUUCAUUCCGAGCGGGCAUUUUGUCUGUCGGUUGACAUCAGAUGCUAAAUCAAGGGCUCCAAUCAAGGCGCCUCGGAAUAAAGGGGCCGCCUGUCUGGGCGCGGGGCCCCCCGGAGCCGUGCCCCCUUCACCUUUGUGAAGGAAAUUAACCUCCCGCUAUUGAGCGCCGGUCGCGGCCAAUCUGGACUCAAAAGAGGCGCGUGCUGCCGGCCGGGGGGAGAGAGGGGCAAUCUGUCCUCUGAGGCAGGCUGCGGCCUCGGAGAGGACAGGCCGCCUCCCCCCGCCCCCCCCCCGGUGCCACCAGGAAAAGACAACAGUGAAAAUCCACCCCCCAGCCCCGCCACCCCGAUUGGACCCCAGACCGGGCCCUGUGCCUCCAACCUCUUCCCAGCCCUGCCCCAAGGAAACACAAAAGGCAGAAUCUCCGGGGGAUGAGGACAGAACCCCAAGAGUGCAUAGUGGCCCUGAUCGCCCAUCACUAGGGAACAAAUUGCAAAACCACAGAAAAUGUCAUAUGUUGUGAAGAUGUCACUUUAUUGAAAGAGAAGGAAACGAACACUUUUCUGAAAAGCUCUGUGCACUCAGACUUUGCUGAGUUUUGCUUACGUCUGAUUCCACUGAAGGUAUUUCAUUGUUUUGGAUUUUCCCUGUGAAAAUACCCUGGCGUGGAAAUGAAAGAUUAAAAAAAAAAAGUCCACAUGAGUAAUAAGUUGUAAUGGAGACAGUUGUUAGAAUUAGUUAAUCAAGGGGUUAAUCAAGUUGACUAAUCAAGGGGAAAACAUUUGGUGAUUUUAUGUUUGUAAUUUCUUUUUUAACUCACAGACUGAAACGAGAAGAAUACACAUUAUGGAAUAUAUUUUGAAAACUCUCAUCGUUUUAAAAAUGCUAACUACGAUGAAUGCUAGUCCUGAAAAAAGUUAGAAAUUCUAAAACGAGUUUAUCUAAAAUUUAUAUAUAUCUUUCAGUCUAAAAGUAACUGACGUUAUUUCCUUGCUCUUUUGAGCGCUGAUUGAUACUGCUGAUGAAAUUAGAAGUGGGAAGGGGAUUCCGGGACAGCUUUGGCCAAUUUUAUUUUCUAAUCACGAAUCCCAUCUGGAUUGUGGAAUAAUAGGGCGGGGGCUCAGCCCGCCAUCCCCAACCGACGUGGGGUAUUUGGUCUUACAUGUGUAACACUCCUUUCAUUCAACAGAUAACAGGGAGAGUUAGUCACCUUGUGAAUCCUUUAAAAAUAACAACACCCAUAAUUGUAAAGAGGGCGGGGGUGGGAGGCAAAAAACAAAACAAAACAAAACCCCUGCCUGAAUGCAGCAAAUUCAAAUAGGGCUCUGAAUUAAGCCAAGAGAAUCUAUUGAACACUAUUGAAAUACUGAGAUUCAAUGGAUCCAUUUCUUUUUCUUUGUGGUUUCUAGUCUGGCCAGCGAAAAUGAAAUCUGCUUUCAGACAGGUACCGUCAAAAACAAAUGGAAACUUGAAAGGUCCGAGUAUUAGAAACUAAUUUCAUAACCCAGGGCUGAGGAAGAAUUAGGCUGCGCUCACGCACACACCGGCAACCUCCAAGGACGUGCACCCUCGCACCCGGCCGUGGGUUUGCGUCUUCUGCGUGAUUUUAUUUCUCAGAACCUGCCCGCCCGCGGGCAUUUGGACAGUGAGUCGAGAUAUUUUCCUUCCUCUUGGAAGAGAGCGAAGCGCUACCACGCUGCGCCGCGGCGGCGGGCCUUUGCGCAUUGCGAUUCCGGAUAGGGGCCGCGUGGAGUUGGGCUGGGGAAACACUGAGCGCUGACUUGCCCCCUCCUGGGGAGUUUCACGGGAGGAGGCGAGCAGAGGGAUCCCAGGCAGGGUCCCGAAGUGUCCUUCCCAGGCCCCAAGCGACUCCUCCCCUUCCUGUGGGGUCCUGGCCGGCGCUUGGGAAAAAUCCAGAGGCCUCUUCGGCCCUCGUCCUUGCGGACCCCGCGGUGGAUUCUUCCUCUGACCGCUGCAGAGCUGGAGGCCGCGGCCGCUCUAAGCUCUCCUGUCCUGGAGUCCUAGGUUGCCGUCGGGGAACGCAGUGGGGUUCACUGUGACCCCCGGCUCCCGAGUUUAGCGCCAGGGAGUUGCUGGAAGCGCAAAGCUUGGAGAUAAGCGCUAGAGCGAGGAAUUUCGGCUCAGGAAUUGCCCUGUGGGAUGUCGC